rnacentral:rRNA from 1 species
GUCAAAUAUAUUAAAAUUUAUGAUGGAUACCUAGGCAUUUAGAGUCGAUGAAGGGCGUGGAUACCAACGAAAUGCUUCGGUUAGUUGGAAACAAACUUUGAUCCGAAGAUUCCCGAAUAGGAAAACCUAUAUAACUACUUAAUGAAUUCAUAAUUAAGUAAGAGACAACCUGCUGAAUUGAAACAUCUUAGUAAGCAGAGGAAAAGAAAGCAAACGCGAUUUCCUUAGUAGCGGCGAGCGAAACGGAAAUAGUCUAAUCAUUAAAUUAAAAAAAAACUAUUAAACGAAGCAGCUGAAUCCUGCACCAUAGAUGGUGAAAGUCCAGUAGUUUAAAAUAGAAAAAAUGAUUAUAAAGUAGCAUGGAACACGUGUAAUUCCGUGUGAAUAUACGAGGACCACCUCGUAAGACUAAAUACUCCUAAAUGACCGAUAGUGAAACAGUACCGUGAGGGAAAGGUGAAAAAGAACCCCUGUAGGGGAGUGAAAAAGAACAUGAAAUCAUAAAUUGACAAUCAGUGGGAGCUAAAGUGACCGCGUGCCUGUUGAAGAAUGAGCCGGCGACUUAUAGGUAGUGGCUUGGUUAAAAUAACUUUUUGGAGCCAAAGCGAAAGCAAGUCUGAUAAGGGCAUAUGUCACUAUUUAUAGACCCGAACCCGAGUGAUCUAACCAUGGCCAGGAUGAAUCUUGGGUAACACCAAGUGGAAGACCGAACCGACUGAUGUUGAAAAAUCAGCGGAUGAGCUGUGGUUAGGGGUGAAAUUCCAGUCGAACUCGGAGCUAGCUGGAUCUCCUCGAAAUGUGUUGAGGCGCAGCGGUUGAUGAUGGGCUAUUUAGGGGUAAAGCACUGUUUCGGUGCGGGCUGCGAAAGCGGUACCAAAUCGUGGCAAACUAAGAAUACUAAAUAUGCUUUCCAUCAACCAGUAAGACAGUGGGGGAUAAGCUUCAUUGUCAAAAGGGAAACAGCCCAGAUCACCAGUUAAGGCCCCAAAGUGAUGACUAAGUGAUAAAGGAAGUAAAAAGGCAAAGACAACCAGAAGGUUUGCUUAGAAGCAGCCAUCCUUGAAAGAGUGCGUAAUAGCUCACUGGUAGAGCCUUUUUGCGCCGAAAAUGAACGGGGCUAAGUCAUCCGCCGAAACUGUGGGUUACAGUUUUUUUUUUAACUAACUGUUACGGUAGAGGAGCGUUCCGUUAUAGGGUGAAGUUAAAAUGUGAAUUUUAAUGGACGAAACGGAAGUGAGAAUGUCGGCUUGAGUAACGAAAACAUUGGUGAGAAUCCAAUGCCCCGAAAACCUAAGGGUUCCUUCACAAGGUUCGUCCAUGGAGGGUUAGUCAGGACCUAAGGCGAGAUCGAAAGGUGUAGUCGAUGGAAAACAGAUUAAUAUUUCUGUACUUGAUUUAAUUUGGUAAAGAGGGACGGAGAAGGCGGUAACUAGCUAGAUAUUGGUAUUCUAGUAGAAGUAUUGAAUUCUUAAAAGAAUGAAAAAAAACUUUCUUUAGAAAACAUGCGACCUGACUGAAGCUCUAUUUAUAGAGUUUUGGUUUAGUUUUAGUCAUACUUCCAAGAAAAGCUCUUAUUACCAUUAAAUUAAAUUCAACCUGUACCCUAAACUGACACAAGUAGGUAGGUAGAGAAUACUAAGGGGCGCGAGAUAACUCUCUCUAAGGAACUCGGCAAAAUGGCCCCGUAACUUCGGGAGAAGGGGUGCCUAUAUUUAUAUUUAUAUAGGCCGCAGUGACCAGGCCCAGGCGACUGUUUAUCAAAAACACAGGUCUCCGCAAAGUCGUAAGACAAUGUAUGGGGGCUGACGUCUGCCCAGUGCCGGAAGGUAAAAGAAGUUGGUUAUUCUUCGGAAAAAGCUAACGACUGAAGCCCCGGUGAACGGCGGCUGUAACUCUGACAGUCCUAAGGUAGCGAAAUUCCUUGUCGAGUAAGUUUCGACCCGCACGAAAGACGUAACGAUCUGGGCACUGUCUCGGAGAGAGACUCGGUGAAAUAGAAAUGUCUGUGAAGAUGCGGACUACUUAUACCAGGACAGAAAGACCCUAUGAAGCUUGACUGUAAUUUGGAAUUGGAUUCGGGCUUUUUUUGCGCAGUCUAGGUGGGAGGCGUUGAUAUUAAGUUUUCGGACUUAAUGGAGCCAUUAGUGAGAGACCACUCUAAAAGAGCUAGAAUUCUAAUAGGAAUCCUUGAAUCAGGAUCCUUGACAGUUUCAGAUGGACAGUUUGACUGGGGCGGUGACCUCCCAAAAGGUAACGGAGGUGUGCAAAGGUUCCCUCAAGCUGGACGGAAAUCAGCUGUAGAGUGCAAAGGUAUAAGGGAGCUUGACUGCAAGACCAACAAGUCGAGCAGAGGCGAAAGCCGGCCUUAGUGAUCCGACGGUUCCGAGUGGAAGGGCCGUCGCUCAACGGAUAAAAGUUACUCUAGGGAUAACAGGCUGAUCUCCCCCAAGAGUUCACAUCGACGGGGAGGUUUGGCACCUCGAUGUCGUUUCAUCGCAACCUGGGGCUGGAGUAGGUCCCAAGGGUUGGGCUGUUCGCCCAUAAAAGCGGUACGUGAGAUGGGUUCAGAACGUCGCGAGACAGUUCGGUCCAUAUCCGGUAUAAGCGUAAGAGCAUUGAGAGGAUCUCAACAUUGUACGAGAGGACCCGAAGGGACGUACCGAUGGUGUACCAGUUCUUAUGCCAAUAGGAAACGCUGGGUAGCUAUGUACGGAGUGGAUAAUCGCUGAAAGCAUUUAAGUGAGAAGCCCACCUCAAGAUGAAUGCUCUCUAUUAGAUCGCGGCAAGACAAGCCGAUAGAUUGGCAUCAAGUGUAAGAUUAGUAAUAAUUUCAGCUGAGAUGUACAAAGGAUCGAUCGAUUUUGAC